GAUGAACGCUAGCGGCAGGCUUAAUACAUGCAAGUCGAGGGGCAGCAGGACUGUAGCAAUACAGUUGCUGGCGACCGGCAAACGGGUGCGGAACACGUACGCAACCUUCCUUUAAGUGGGGGAUAGCCCAGGGAAACUUGGAUUAAUACCUCGUAACAUUAUGAAGUGGCAUCACUUUAUAAUUAUAGCUCCGGCGCUUAAAGAUGGGCGUGCGACUGAUUAGGUAGUUGGCGGGGUAACGGCCCACCAAGCCUUCGAUCAGUAACUGGUGUGAGAGCACGACCAGUCACGCGGGCACUGAGACACGGGCCCGACUCCUACGGGAGGCAGCAGUAAGGAAUAUUGGUCAAUGGACGCAAGUCUGAACCAGCCAUGCCGCGUGGAGGAUGAAGGUCCUCUGGAUUGUAAACUUCUUUUAUCUGGGAAGAAACCCAUAUUUUCCAAUGUGGUUGACGGUACCAGAUGAAUAAGCACCGGCUAACUCCGUGCCAGCCGCCGCGGUAACAC
rnacentral:rRNA from 1 species